GGCCCAGUGGCCUAAUGAAUAAGGCAUCAGCCUGGGGAUUGUGGGUUCAAGUCCCACCUGGGUUG
rfam:Danio rerio chromosome 4, GRCz11 reference primary assembly.